ACAUCUGCAAUGUGAUUGCCGUUGGACUUGCAGGAUGUCAGGUUUUUACUGGACGACAUUCAGGAACUAAAGCCUACUAUGUUUUGUGUGGUUCCUCGAGUUUAUGAUUGUAUAUACACUGGUAAAACAGAUUCAUCAAUUUGAACUGUUCACAUGUAUGUGCUCCAUGUACAUUUUGGAUGAGCUCAAUAGUAAGGGUUAGAAACAGGAACUUCGAGGGUUUGAGUUGUUAAAAGCAGUUCAUUUGGAACCAAACCCCUUUGACAUAGAGAGGGAUCUCAUGACUCCCAAUUUUCAAACUGAAAAGACCGCAAGUACUCAAAUAUUACAAGGAGCGGGUUGAUAAACUUUAUAAUGAAGCAAAGGGUGGAAAAGUAUAAGAACAGAGCUGUAAGCAACUAUUGGAUAAAUCUAGCUACAUCACUUUCCCAAAAUUUCGAUUGCCUGCUCUCUCGUUGAUGAAAAACUACAUAUGACUAAAAGAAUAUCUAGCCGGGAUUUACCCAUAUUGACCUUUGUCCUAAGUUUGUGUAU